rnacentral:lncRNA from 1 species
AGAAACCGUGGCAAUGCUGACACUUUUGGCCUGGAACUUGGCAGGGCUGUGAAAGAAUGUGGAGCUGUUGUUGCAAACAGCUCAUUUUGUGACUUGAAAGGGAAGGGCUUGUAGUUUCAGACGUACCACUUCUGCAGAUCAGUGACAAGGAGGAGACUUUGGUAUCAGUCCACUAGCAUAUCUCUUGCAAGCUGAGAGAAGUGAAUAUAAAGCACUGUAAUCGUUUUCACAGCCUCCAGGAUUCAUAAGACACCAUAAGAAGAAGUUUCUCAAGCUUAAAGUGUUCUAUAAGAUACUAAAUCUUACGUCUCCUGGAGGCCACUGGGGAAAUGAAAAGGCUUUGGUUUCUAUGAAGAAGAAAGAGACUAUCUAAGAUAGGACCUCUGAAGAAGGAGCAAAACCCAGGGAGGACAUGCUAAUGCUAAACAAAGCUGGGAGGAGAAUAUCCAUCAUUUCCAGAUGUGGACAUAUGAUCCAGGAGGCAAUUGAAGGUAUUUUGAAAUCAUAUGGUUUGGUUUAUGAAUUUGGAUUGGUCAAGAGAGAUUUGCUUGAAAUCCUUGAGAGAGUAUGGCACCUCGCUGACUUGAGA